UACGGAGGGUGCAAGCGUUGUCCGGAAUCACUGGGCGUAAAGGGCGCGUAGGUGGCCAAUUAAGUCAGACGUGAAAUCCCCAGGCUUAACCUGGGAACUGCGUCUGAUACUGGUUGGCUUGAAUUCGGGAGAGGGAUGCAGAAUUCCAGGUGUAGCGGUGAAAUGCGUAGAUAUCUGGAGGAAUACCGGUGGCGAAGGCGGCAUCCUGGACCGAGAUUGACACUGAGGAGCGAAAGCCAGGGGAGCAAACGGG
rnacentral:rRNA from 1 species